GGGAAGUUGGGCGAACGGUUAAGCCAGCAGACUGUAAAUCUGCCGCCUCACAAGGCACUCUAGGUUCAAAUCCUAGGCUUCCCACCA
rnacentral:tRNA from 1 species